UUCACACCUAACUGAAAAGAAAUAACUCAGAAAGAGUAAGCUUUCUAAUAUUUAAAACAGCAAGACUAUCAGAAGACUUAGCUCUACAAUUGGCCUAAUUCCCAAGCUCUAAGGAGGUAAAACGAGAGAGGAAAGUUUCAUAAUAACAUAAUUGUGUUUAUCAGAGGAGGAAUCAAGAUGCUAUUUUACAGACGACCAGUAGCAACAAACAAUUCACC
rnacentral:lncRNA from 1 species